rnacentral:rRNA from 1 species
GAGUGAACGCUGGCGGUAGGCCUAACACAUGCAAGUCGAACGGCAGCACAGUAAGAGCUUGCUCUUACGGGUGGCGAGUGGCGGACGGGUGAGGAAUACAUCGGAAUCUACUUUUUCGUGGGGGAUAACGUAGGGAAACUUACGCUAAUACCGCAUACGACCUACGGGUGAAAGCAGGGGAUCUUCGGCCCUUGCGCGAUUGAAUGAGCCGAUGUCGGAUUAGCUAGUUGGCGGGGUAAAGGCCCACCAAGGCGACGAUCCGUAGCUGGUCUGAGAGGAUGAUCAGCCACACUGGAACUGAGACACGGUCCAGACUCCUACGGGAGGCAGUAGUGGGGAAUAUUGGACAAUGGGCGCAAGCCUGAUCCAGCCAUACCGCGUGGGUGAAGAAGGCCUUCGGGUCGUAAAGCCCUUUUGUUGGGAAAGAAAAGCAGCAGGUUAAUACCCCGCUGUUCUGACGGUACCCAAAGAAUAAGCACCGGCUAACUUCGUG